rnacentral:misc_RNA from 1 species
GUUCAGCAGGUUUUUCAUGAACAAUGGUGCUACUAGGAAGGUUGUUGACUGAACUUCUGAAAGCAGAAAAAGAACCUUUUGCUAGGGGUUUCAAAGAGGAGACUGGAUUUGUCUCUUCCACAGUUUCCCCACAAGUUAAAACUACUGAAUCCAGUUCAGAAGAAGUAGCAUCUGCAGCAUUAGAAGAAUAACCAACUCCAUUUUCCAAGUCCUUCGAAGUUGUCUCCAUCUUUAGUAACAAGAUGCUGGAUGCUUGUUCUACUUCAUGGAUGCAUUCAACAUCUGCACAACGAAUUGAACUUUCCUGUGG